GACGAACGCUGGCGGCGUGCCUAACACAUGCAAGUCGAACGAAGCUCUGCGAUACAAGACUUCGGUCAAGUUGAACAGAUGACUUAGUGGCGGACGGGUGAGUAACGCGUGAGGAACCUGCCUUUCAGUGGGGGACAACAGUUGGAAACGACUGCUAAUACCGCAUAAUGUAUUCUGACCGCAUGAUCGGAAUACCAAAGAUUUAUUGCUGAAAGAUGGCCUCGCGUCUGAUUAGAUAGUUGGUGAGGUAACGGCUCACCAAGUCGACGAUCAGUAGCCGGACUGAGAGGUUGAACGGGCCACAUUGGGACUGAGAUACGGCCCAGACUCCUACGGGAGGCAGCAGUGGGAAUAUUGGGCAAUGGGGGAAACCCUGACCCAGCAACGCCGCGUGAAGGAGAAGGCUUUCGGUGUAAACUCUUUUACCAGGGACGAAGGACGUGACGGUACCUGGAGAAAAAGCCACGGCUAACUACGUGCCAGC
rnacentral:rRNA from 1 species